rnacentral:rRNA from 1 species
CCUACGGGAGGCAGCAGUGGGGAAUAUUGGGCAAUGGGCGCAAGCCUGACCCAGCAACGCCGCGUGAAGGAAGAAGGCUUUCGGGUUGUAAACUUCUUUUGUCAGGGACGAAGCAAGUGACGGUACCUGACGAAUAAGCCUCGGCUAACUACGUGCCAGCAGCCGCGGUAAUACGUAGGUGGCAAGCUUUAUCCGGAUUUAUUGGGUGUAAAGGGCGUGUAGGCGGGAAUUCAAGUCAGAUGUGAAAACUAUGGGCUCAACCCAGAGCCUGCAUGUGAAACUGUAUUUCUUGAGUGCUGGAGAGGCAAUCGGAAUUCCGGGUGUAGCGGUGAAAUGCGUAGAUAUACGGAGGAACACCAGUGGCGAAGGCGGAUUGCUGGACAGUAACUGACGCUGAGGCGCGAAAGCGUGGGGAGCGAACAGGAUUAGAUACCCUUGUAGUC